CCCGCUGAACUUAAGCAUAUCAAUAAGCGGAGGAAAAGAAACUAACAAGGAUUCCCUUAGUAACUGCGAGUGAAGUGGGAAAAGCUCAAAUUUAGAAUCUGGCAGUCACUUGGCUGUCCGAGUUGUAAUCUAGAGAAGUGCUAUCCGCGCUGGACCGUGUACAAGUCUCCUGGAAUGGAGCGUCAUAGAGGGUGAGAAUCCCGUCUUUGACACGGACUGCCAGGGCUUUUGUGAUGCGCUCUCAAAGAGUCGAGUUGUUUGGGAAUGCAGCUCUAAAUGGGUGGUAAAUUCCAUCUAAAGCUAAAUAUAGGCGAGAGACCGAUAGCGAACAAGUACCGUGAGGGAAAGAUGAAAAGAACUUCGGAAAGAGAGUUAAACAGUACGUGAAAUUGCUGAAAGGGAAACGUUUGAAGUCAGUCGCGUCGGCUGGAGAUCAACCUUGCUCUUGCAGGGCGCACUCUCUGGUUGAUGGGUCAGCAUCAGUUUUGAUCCGUUGGAUAAAGGUCAGGGGAAUGUGGCAUCGAUUCGUUGAUGUGUUAUAGCCCUCGGUCGUAUACAGCGGUUGGGACUGAGGAACUCAGCGCGCCGCAAGGCCGGGUCUUCGGACCACGUUCGCGCUUAGGAUGCUGGCAUAAUGGCUUUAAGCGACCCGUCUUGAAACACGG
rnacentral:rRNA from 1 species